GUCUCACAGUUUGAUCCUGGCUCAGAACGAACGCUGGCGCGCGCCUAAUACAUGCAAGUCGAACGAGAAUGUGUAGCAAUACACAUGUACAGUGGCGAACGGGUGAGGAUUACAUGGGUAACCUACCUCGAGUGGGGAAUAACUAGCCGAAAGGUUAGCUAAUACCGCGUACGCUUCCCGGACUGCGGUCCGGGAAGGAAAGCGAUACCGUGGGUAUCGCGCUCUUGGAUGGGCUCAUGCCCUAUCAGCUUGUUGGUGAGGUAACGGCUCACCAAGGCUUCGACGGGUAGCUGAUCUGAGAGGGUGACCGGCCACACUGGGACUGAAACACGGCCCAGACUCC
rnacentral:rRNA from 1 species